AUUGAACGCUGGCGGCAGGCUUAACACAUGCAAGUCGAGCGAGCGGCGGACGGGUGAGUAAUGUCUGGGACACUGCCUGAUGGAGGGGGAUAAUUACUGGAACCGGUAGCUAAUACCGCAUACCUUCCGAUGUGCCCAGAGGGGAUUAGCUAGUAGGUGGGGUAAUGGCUCACCUAGGCGACGAUCCCUAGCUGGUCUGAGAGGAUGACCGGCCACACUGGAACUGAGACACGGUCCAGACUCCUACGGGAGGCAGCAGUGGGGAAUAUUGCACAAUGGGCGAAAGCCUGAUGGAGCCAUGCCGCGUGUGUGAAGAAGGCCUUCGGGUUGUAAAGCACUGUCAGUGGGGAGGCGGUACUCGCAGAGGAAGCACCGGCUAACUACGUGCCAGCAGCCGCGGUAAUAC
rnacentral:rRNA from 1 species